UGAACGCUGGCGGCGUGCCUAAUACAUGCAAGUCGAGCGAACGGACGAGAAGCUUGCUUCUCUGACGUUAGCGGCGGACGGGUGAGUAACACGUGGAUAACCUACCUAUAAGACUGGGAUAACUUCGGGAAACCGUAGCUAAUACCGGAUAAUAUUUUGAACCGCAUGGUUCAAAAGUGAAAGACGGUCUUGCUGUCACUUAUAGAUGGAUCCGCGCUGCAUUAGCUAGUUGGUAAGGUAACGGCUUACCAAGGCAACGAUGCAUAGCCGACCUGAGAGGGUGAUCGGCCACACUGGAACUGAGACACGGUCCAGACUCCUACGGGAGGCAGCAGUAGGGAAUCUUCCGCAAUGGGCGAAAGCCUGACGGAGCAACGCCGCGUGAGUGAUGAAGGUCUUCGGAUCGUAAAACUCUGUUAUUAGGGAAGAACAUAUGUGUAAGUAACUGUGCACAUCUUGACGGUACCUAAUCAGAAAGCCACGGCUAACUACGUG
rnacentral:rRNA from 1 species